AUGAUCUGCAGAGAGAUAGAAUGAUAUUGUGACACAAUUGUACAAAUGAGAUGGGAAUGACCAAAAAAAAAAAUAAUCACUUCAUAGUCUUGCUUACUAUCCCUUUUAGAGCAUGCUCUUAAUUAAUUGUGCUUCAAACUUCUCCAUUUAAACUUCUCCAUUCAAACUUCUCCUUAAUGGAGCCUUCCACGUCAUAAGGGAAAGUAUACCCAAGAAGGUCUCUGAUAAAAAGGAAAAAUUGAAAACUCUUCCUAACCGCCUGGGUGGCUGCUACGCCUGCGUCCGGGACUCUCCCAAAACAAGCGCUGAAUCCUUCGUAAAAGAGAAGCAGCUGGCUGAAGAAUUCCCUGAAUCCGAGAUGUUGUCACUCUGGCCAUUUGGGGUCUUUGCAGAAGAGGGUACAUGUCCAAAACCCUGCUUGAGGAUCUAGACUUGGAGCUUUCUGAGCGAGAAUGUCGGGAAUGAUGAUGAUGGGAUUUCCGUUGUCUGCUGCGUGAGCUUCAAUAUAUACAGGAAAAUAUCCUAUUAGUAUCAUUCUCACCUAUCACAGAGACAUGCAUUAACACAAACAAAUGUGGGCUGUAGAAAUCUAACAUUUUAAGCCAUCUAUUCUAUAUAAAAGAAAUUAAAGCAUUUGAAUCAUCUACUGUACUUACAAUAGACUCUGGCAAUUUUCUUUGUGGCGGCAGUGUACAUGAGCACAAGGAUAUUGAUCAACUGUUAUUCUCAUUUUUGCUAUGUGCUAUCACUCACAGUUCCCCCUUAACUGCAGCAUGGCUGACUACCAUACUGCAGCAUCUGUGGAGCGCUGCAUCCCAGUUUUGUAGGCGUGCCUGGAGUUUGGACCCGGCUGACCGAAUCCGGUAGUCUGAGUAAGGUUCGGCUUACGUAGACUGGCUGAGUACUGCAACCAUCAUGGCACAGCACUUGGAUCUCGCAGAUUCUGUCAGGAAGCAUCUAUUUCAUGCAAGCACCUCCUGCUUCAAUUACAUUAUAUUUGUACAGUAUUGCACAGCCACUUCACUGUAGCUGUGCAAUAAAGUACAACUCUGAAUCAGGCCCACUAAUAUUUGUAAUGGUCUAUUAAUUACAAAGGUAAUGCAGGAGAUAUCUUUCAGUUCCAAUGUGACACACCACCUCCAUACAGUUUGGGACCAUUAUUCAUUAAGCUCUGAAAAUUCAUUUUUGGAACUUGGCACCAUCUUCACAGUUCCCAGACUCCUACUCUUUCAUAUGGGAAAGUGUACCAGGUUACAAUCUUUCUGUGGUCCAUCGUAUAUCUCUGUAAGCAUGAGUGAACCCACUUCAAGCAUCUAACAAUGUAGGGUCAGACCAGGCAGUGAAAUUGUACUACGGAAGUAGCAGUGUUAGGGCUUAUGGAUAGAUAUAUAUAUAUAUAUAUAUAUAUAUAUAACAUUUUACAAAUCUAACAUUGCCUCUGUGAAAAAUUUAAAUUGAAUGUGGUAAGUUAGACUACAAAGUAUGUCCACAAACUCUUCAUUUCUGUCUACCAUUUUAUGGCAGGGCCUAAGUAUGACAAUUUCCUGCAAUCCGAGCACCUACUGCUAAGUCACUGACUCCUAAUGUUAUUACUGACAGCAAUAAUAAUCACAACUGCUCUUCAGAAGAUAAAAAGGAAGUCCCCUGUAGUGCUUGUCAUCCCAAAAUGCUUUGCAAUCAGUACAUAACAGAAAAAGCAGCAUGUACCCUUUUCCAGAUAUCUGAUCUACAUGAAGACAUGAGAAUGGAAGAGCUAUAGACAAUGAGAAUAUUACUACUCGCUGGUAUUGGUGAUGAUAAUGUUAUUUUUCUUUAUUUCAAACAGUUAUCUUGAAAACAAAA